CUACGGGCGGCUGCAGUGGGGAAUAUUGCACAAUGGAGGAAACUCUGAUGCAGCAACGCCGCGUGGAGGAUGACACUUUUCGGAGCGUAAACUCCUUUUAUAUAGGAAGAAGAUGACGGUACUAUAUGAAUAAGCGCCGGCUAACUCCGUGCCAGCAGCCGCGGUAAUACGGAGGGUGCAAGCGUUACUCGGAAUCACUGGGCGUAAAGAGCGUGUAGGCGGAUUAAAAAGUCAGAAGUGAAAUCCUAUAGCUUAACUAUAGAACUGCUUCUGAAACUCUUAAUCUAGAAUAUGGGAGAGGUAGAUGGAAUUUCUGGUGUAGGGGUAAAAUCCGUAGAGAUCAGAAGGAAUACCGAUUGCGAAGGCGAUCUACUAGAACAUUAUUGACGCUGAGACGCGAAAGCGUGGGGAGCAAACAGGAUUAGAUACCCGUGUAGUC
rnacentral:rRNA from 1 species